rnacentral:lncRNA from 1 species
CGGUUUUGCAUAACAACUUACAAACAUGUCUCAGAACAUACCUUUAUCACGACUGGGCUCCUCCGCCACAUCCCACCACACCCGGCCACAUCCUCAAAUGCACAGACUGGCCCUCUCAGUCUUGUCCAGUAGCUCUACAAAAAUGUGACAAGAAACAGACUGGCCCUACAGUACGUACCCAGUUCUAUACAACUUCCAGAUUGUCCUAGAACGCACAGCGAUUCCUCCUACACAGUGUUAACUCGCAACGCAGAGACUCAUACAGAGCUAAUAACUACCCAACCACCAGCUAUGCCCCCAAACACACAGAACAUGCUCCACAACACGUCUGUGAGCCUCACAACGCCUAGCCUGUCCUUAAUACCCACCUCAGCCUACGAUGUCACACAUGCUCCAUGGCAGGCCUCCCACCCUAGCCCGUGCAGCGGUAUCGCAACGCAGAGAUGUGCCUCGCAUGUAAACGUUCUCCCCAGAAUGCCAACGCUUGCUCUGUAAGGCAUCCAGUAUGACUGUAACACCUAGAUUUGCCUCCAGACUCAGUCUUGCACCACAAUACUCCCCCAGUGCCUCACAAUACCUACCACGAAUGUAGAGUGAACGGACCUGCCCCACAAUGUCCAGACUUAGAAAACCAAGACAUGCCCUAUCGGCCACAGGUUCCACAAAGCAAAAAUCUCCCUAUAUUGCACAGCCCAACUCUACAUCAUAAACUCACCCCCACGCCCCACGGUAGGAACAGACCUCAAAUAUUCAGUCACAAAUUCAGUCUUGCCACACAACACUGACAGGUGUCUUACGACUCACACACGAGUUCCACGAUACCUAGACACAGCUAACUUACAAUGGACAGGUAUACGCUGUGACACAAAGGUUUCUCCCCGAAACACCAGAUUGCAUUCUGAUGCACAGAAUCCCCCCCAAACACACACAUUCACUCCACCAGGCAAACACCCCAGAAAGAAACCGUGUGUCCCCAGCCCCCAGAAUUGCCCCAGGACACACAGACGUGCCCCACAGGAGGAAGACCUACUCCAGAUUGCACAUUCUCCUCACCAGACGUGCUUUGCGACACAACCUUGCCCCGCAAGGCACCCUUGACCCACAACCUAGGCACAGUAUAUAGUGCCCUUAUUCACCCCUGCAACACCUUGACAGAGCCUCCAUGCAAAGAUGUGUCCUGCAGUGUACAAAACACCAGAAAAUGCACAGACCCCCCCCCCCGCGCCCCCGGUACCAGAAGGGCCACCUCAGGCUCCAACUUCCUCCCCAAAGCAAAGUCACUUGGAAAUAGCUCCAGCCAAAUCACACCUUGCAAACGCAUCGCAUCUCACGUUCUCCGCACCGUGCACAGACGUGCUCCGCAGCACUCAGACUCACCUACACGCCCCACGACAUCCCACAAAUCGGUACCUGACCCACAAUAUGACGGACAGGCCUCGUGAUGUACACUUGCCCCCCACCACUGAGAGACACCGCGCCUUGUGAUGCACAGACCUGCCUUGCCACGCAAACCCCACGGGACACAUCCUCACCCAGCAUAAGCAUCCCCAGCUCAAGACAUGUUCACGCGCUGCCAUGCCCCGCAGCACAGAAUUACAUCGCACAGCAGGAUGCCUGUAGGCAAACACCCCAGAAAGAAAACGUGUGUCCCCAGCCCCCAGAAUUGCCCCAGAACACAUAGGGAAAUCCCACAGCACAAACGCAAGCUCCCUCAAACGCAGCCUCCGCCCCAUUCUCUUUGAAAUGCCAGAAUACAGCCAACGCCACAUCCAGAAUCAGCCUGUAUCACACGGGCAAUGCGCAGCAUGGACCACAACCUCCAGAAAUACCAUACUAUGUCAAGGCAGAACCCCACCUGAGGGGGCUCCCCUCGUUAACAAACACACAUAGAUUCCCCAUGAGGCACAGAUGUACCCGACAAUGCAAGGACUGGCCCUGUGACACAACAAUUUACGGUCGAAUCUCUAGACUCAACCCAGGACACAUAGUCUCACCCUGUGACUCCAAGAUCUGUCCCAGGGUGUUUGGACUGCAGUUUAGAGAGCACGACACCUGGACGGGCCAGCCCUACAAGGUGAAGACAUGGUCCCCAGUCCGUAGAUUUGCAUGACAGGACAUCUGAAAAAUCACACUCAUAAAAGUCUCAACACUCAGAAGCACUCCCACAAAGCACAGUCCCUCCAAACCAGAUGCUCAGGCCUCGCCGGGCCCGUAAUUCCUAGAGACCACCUGUCAUCCACAAGCUCACCUCACACCCCAUAGCCAGGCCCCCUUACCAUAGAGAAUACCCAGACUUGCUACACAACACCCAGACUUGCUACACAACACUCAGAAGGGCUCACGACAUCAAGAGAGUAUGCGUAUUCUAGAACAUUCAGGUUCACUUCAUGAGAACCCACGCGCUCACGCAGAACGUUCACUUCUUUGCGCCUGUACACUCAUGUGCAAACAUGGAUGAAACAGUUCCUUUUAGGGCCUUGCAAGGAUCAAAUGAGAUAAUUUCAGGAAAGAAUCGAGGUUCAGAACACAGUCUUUGGAGGCAGCUGUAUCCGCUCCCAGUCCCGGCUCCACGACUGGAACCUGAGCAUGUUUGAGAGUAGAAACGGUCAGUGGGAGAGAAGCAGGAAUAAAGGUUUGGGGUCAGUGGGGCCUGGUUCUGAAUUCUGCCUCUGCCACGUAUCGGCCACAUGAUGUUCACAACGCGCUUGAAUUCUCUGACCCCCAGUGUCCUCAUCUGUCAAGUGUGGAUGACACUGGUGCCCGUCUCCGAGGCUACUUGUAAGGAUUAAACACCACCAGCAGGGAGAAAAGCUUGAGCCCCUUCUACUGGCUGUACCAUAGACAAGCAGGCGGAGAAAUGAGCAGAUAAGUCUUUCUGGAAGAAAGUGCUCACAUCGACACACACACACACACACACACACACACACACACGCACUCAUACUGCCACAGGUGUUUACACUGACACAGAACUACGGGUGUAUCAGAAUCCCACAGACCAUACGUUCUUUCAGCCACAGCCGAAGACAUAUGUUUGCGCAAGUAUGAACAUAUAACCAGAGUUCCAGCAAGGACCACCUCAUGUUUAUGCAGAUACACGUAUACAUACACACAGAUGCAUACAAACACCCACAGUUUGGUGUGUAGGCACAAAGCAACAUGCAGUCACAGAUGCACACUCCACACUCGCACAGGCCCAGAGAAGCACGCAGAGACACAUGCAUGCCAACCUAGGCGUCCAGAGGAUGUGUUUACUGAUUCAUAACCUCAAAGAUGCAAGAACACAAAUGCAUGCACACACACACACACACACACACACACAUGGAAAGACGCAUAAAUGCUUCUAGAGGCUCAUGAGGUGUGGACUCAUCCUCAGACACCCCCAGACAUUUAUGGAGAAAUGUAGACAAGUACAUAUGAGCCCACACAGACACAUAGGCAUUUGCAUGUGUGCACACAGAGCCACAGGCAGGUGCAUGGAGUCAUCCGUAUGCAGACACAGGUGUAUGCAUGUUCAUUGCUAUGCAGAGACAUAGAGACAUUUAUAAAAAACUGAAAUAUGGAGAUGUAUUCAUAAGGAGACACGUGUGUUUUAAACACGUAUCUGGCAUCUUUAUGCUCAUAGAGUCACAUGAAUUUACACACAGAGGCAAGUUGUUAUUAAAACACACCUGCAUACACAUGGUCCUGCCUGGACCUGCAACCUGGGUGCUCAUGCUGACCAUGAAAACCUAGAAACAUGCCCACAUGCACAUGUAUAGAAAUGUACCUGGGGAAGCACGUGGGGAUAUUCGUGCAUAUGGGUGUGCGUAUGGAACCACACAAGCAUGCCGUGUGCACACAUAGAUGCACUCGUACAUGGAGACAUACACAUGCACGCAGACAAAACAGAGAUGGACCCAUGAAGACAUCUCUGCAUGAAUAUGAGCAGACACAUUUAGAGAGAGACGUUUAUAUACAGAGAGAGAUGCCUCCCGUGUAGAUACAGGGGAGAGGAGAGGGAGCGGGGAGACGGAGGUUGGUCGGCUUGGCAGAGACACUUUCUUAUGCAGAAGCUCACACCUACACACAGAGACACACAGGCCUAGAGACCCAUACGAAGAUGUGCACAGGCGAACACAGCUGCACUCACACACUCACUCAGAUGCACGAGAGGAGCAAAGUCACACACACACAUGCAGAAACUCAGGUAUAUUCACGGAGACCCAGGCAAGUGCACAGAGACAGAGAUGUACGUGGAUCCUCACCCAUACGGACUCACAAAGAUACAGACUCAGAAGCUUGUGCAGGUGCCUGCGGGGACAGGUACACAGGAGGAGGAUGAAGAUGGAGAGUCAGUAGGAACGGGGAAGAGGGCUUCUUGCCAUGGAACAUUUGCCACCUAGUGACCAUUCUGAGUGGUGAUACUUGUUCUCGUCUUCUCAGCCUGGCAGCCUGCCCUUGACUCCUGAGUUCUGUGAGCCCUUCAAAACUGCAAGUCAUUCUCAAAAGAAAUUUGGGUUUACCUAGUGUGCACCUUUGAGAGUUUGGGAACAGUAUGCAAAUUCAAGUUACCCUCAUGUUUUCUCGCUAUCUGGUUUCUCUGCCUAUCGUUCCCUCUGCGCAUGUGUAGUCAUACAAAACAAUUUUUGGCCUUGUUAUUUGUCCUGUGAAUGUUGGCAUUUGCUUCUUAUACAGUAGAAAUUAGCGUUGUAUAUUUGUCAGUGAUAUAAAACUUUCAAUAACUGUAAGUCUAUAUAAGUUGGGUAAGAAUAUCAUCCAAGCAAAGAAAAGAACCAAGAAGGUAGAUGAUAGAAAUGCAAGAGAAGAGGAGAGGACAAGAAAGGUGGUGUCUCUAGCAAACAGAAUGAGGGGUCCUGAAAUGCUUCCUAAUGGGGAAACCAAGACCUCUGCGGGGCAUUUAUUUUGGUAUUAAUGAGUCAGUCAAGAAAAAUAAGAAAGCUAUUAGGGUCAGUGUGCCAAGGGGCACACUAGAAUCAUUAAGAAAAAUCAUACAUAACUCCAAAUGCCAAAAUAGAGAAAAUGAAAAGAGAUUUGUGUUUGUGGCUUCUAAAACAGAGAAGGCUGAAUGGGCCUCUUUGCCUCAUCUGCCAGCGAGCCUAGCAAAAAAUGCAAAUUUAAAUUUUGAUCGGGAUGGAAAAUUGUAACAUUCAUCGUGAGUAACGCGUGGUUGGACAGGUUUAAGAAACACCAGGGUGUGUAUGAAAAGAAGUGGCUGGCAGAGGAAGCCGACCGUGAAGCUGCCGCGGACUGUCCUGGAUACCCGAAGAAACUGAUGGAGAAAAAUCGCUAUUUGCCUGAAGAGGUCUUCAGUGCUGAUGAAACAGUCCUGUUCUAGAAGCGCAUGGCUACUUGCACAUUUAUUGCGAAGGAUGAGAAAAAGACCUGAGGCUUCGAGCCUGGAAAAGAUAAGCUCAAAGUUCUGCUUUGUUCCAGUGCUUCUGGUGACUUUCUGAUUAAACCGCUGUUGCUUCACAGAUUCCACAUUUCUUGCCCUCUUAAAAGAAAUUGCCAGAAACACUUUUCUGUGUACAUGAAGGGAAACCAUAAAAUAUGGAUCACUGAGAAAUUCCUGUUGGACUGGCUUUUGAAGUGUUUUGUUCCUGAGGUUAAACAGUAUUUAAACCCAAAACAUCUUGAAUUCGAGGUGUAACUGAUUCUGGACACGGCUCCCACUGACAAAAGCAUGAUCCUUGUAUUAAAGGCAGCUGUAUUCCCCCCAGUACAUCUCCACUCUUUCCACCCUUGCACCUGGGAGUGUAUUUGAUUGACUACCUGGCAAAUCUUACGAGAGAGACACCAGAAAUUACCGUGGAAAUAGCUUGGUAAAAUUUCUCCAUUUGUAACACUUUGAUACUAGUAGGAGAAUCAGUGAGAGAGAGAAAAUGAUCAACCCUUAACGGAGACUGGCAGCAACUUUGGAAUGAAGUUGUAAGUGAUUCUGAAGCUUUCCUUCCAGUGCCUGAAGAAAUUGAAAUUUUGGUAGCAUCUGCAGAACAUACGGGUGGUGACGGAUUCGAAGACAGUGAAUUAAGUGACGUUGCUGAACUGUUAGAUUCUCACCCUCAGAAGAUGGUUGAGAAAUAUUUCAGAGAUGGGAUCCCAUCAAAAGUUGAUGAAAGAUGUCAGCGUAGAUUACCUUCUAGAACUCAAAGAAUGUGGAAGCACCCACUCCGCAAAUCAAAUUGUCAUGGUGAUUCACAGGAAAGAGAUCCUUCGCUGGAAUAUUUAUUGACCUACAGGGAGAAGAGGCUGUACUACCGGGCUGUGUCACUCAAGCCCUUGCCCAAAAAAGCAGGCACAAGGGCCUCACACUGAUGCUUGAACCUGGGGAUUCAGACUCUGGCAGCUCUGAUGAUGAGUGAUGAUCCGUGUGCCGAAGAAUGAGAGUGAAGCAGGACACUGAGUUUACUCAGAUCCAGACAAAACCCUGUCACUGCUGUGAUGAUCAGCAUUUUCACUGAUGCAUGAUGUUUCUCACUUUGAGAUCAGAGAGAAAUAGAAAUUAAUUGCCCUGUCAUCACUAUGACUAAUGUAAAAUUAGUAAAAUGCCACC